UACAGAGGUCUCAAGCGUUGUUCGGAUUCAUUGGGCGUAAAGAGCGUGUAGGCGGUCUGUUGCGUCGGCUGUGAAAACCCGAGGCUCAACCUCGGGCCUGCAGCCGAUACGGGCAGACUAGAGUUCGGCAGGGGAGACUGGAAUUCCUGGUGUAGCGGUGAAAUGCGCAGAUAUCAGGAGGAACACCGGUGGCGAAGGCGGGUCUCUGGGCCGAUACUGACGCUGAGGAGCGAAAGCGUGGGGAGCGAACAGG
rnacentral:rRNA from 1 species